GUAGGAAGCGUGGCGCCUCAGCCACAAUCGUAAUCACCUUUAAUCUCUUGCUCAAAAUAACCCAAAGUCAAGCAGCAUCUAAUCCACCUGCAGAAGCAUCUGGAAUCACUCCACUCCCACCACGACCGCCCAAACCCACCUCCAGCGGGGACGACGCCCAAGGUACCACCUGGUCUCCUGGCACCCACAAUCCAUUCUCCCUCCACAGCCAGAGGGAGCCUCGCUAACCACCAAGGCGGUCCUGCGGCCCCGCGCAGCCCUGAGGGCGUCCAGUCCUCCACGCGUGGAGGAGAAUCCGGCCUCCAGACACAAUCUCCAGGGCCCACUGGAUGGGCCUCCGCUCCUUCUCACUCCCAGUCCUCUGGUGCAUGCCCCCUUCCUGGCUGAAGAACCUGCACCAGCCGCCCCUCCGCCUGGGAAGCUCCCUCCUGUCAUUCACUCCGAGACGCAGCAGCGUUGCCCCAAGAGCCCUCCCUGCUCUGCACCCCGAAUUCACUCUCAGCCCCCACCUAGUUUAAAUCCUGGCCCUUCUCUCUCCCUGAUGUUCUGCUUGGUUAUUUACUUUUAAUUCAUGUUGGAGCUCCUCCUGCCACUGCAAGAGCAGGAGCUGUGUGUCCUGGUCACUGCUGUGGCAUCCCAGGGCCGGCGCGGUGCCCAGCAGCCAGGACUGGACAGACUCGGGCCACGCUGCGCACGGGCUGGGAUGCGCUGGCUCUGCUUCCUCUUCCGUUGAAUGGGAGUAAAGACCACUCCUCCCAGGGAGCUUGUGGUUUCUCACAAACAUUAACUUCCUUUUGUACUUUUUUAAAGAGGUGGGUCUCGCUCUGUUGCCCGGGCUGGAGUGCAGUGGUACAAUCAUAGCUCACUGCAGCCUUGGCCUCCUGGGCUCAAGCCAUCCUCCUGCCUCAGCUUCCCAAAGCACUGGGAUUACAGGUGUAUGUCACGACACCCGGCCAUCCACUUCAUGUUUGAUCAAGCCCAUAUGCUUCCCUGUUACCCCCUCAGGAAAGAUAUGACAUGCCCGCAGGGGGUUAGGGGGUCCUAACCCUAACCCACAGGGGGUCCUGCAUCUCAGCUUUGGGCCAUACCCCGCCAGGUCUCAUCGGUCUGUGCACAUCCGUACCAGCUUCAGUGUCUGACGCCCCUCACCCAGAUGGAGAGAGGCCUCCACGUGCCCGGCCCUGGGCAGCCACAAGAGCACCACAGGCCACGCCAUGGGACAUGGGACCACGCGCCCUCCGUGGUCUGGGUGGGAAGCCCCUCGAGUGAAGGGACUGGCCAGGGUCGCCUGGGCUAGCGGGGGAAAUGGGCUCCCAGAACCGCUGCGUUCACUCACAGCCGCUGGCGAGGUCUGCUUGUCGCACGGGGACCUCGGCUGUCCUGGGGGCAUCUGCCUGUCCCAGGACUGAGCCUACCAGGCUUCCACCUUGGGACAGCUCUGCCUCCCACAGGCAGGGCCUGGAGGGAGCUGGAAGGGGUGGCCGGCAUACCCUAUUCACAGAGAGUGCUGAUCAGGGGGACAGACACAGAAGCCGGGAGAACAGAGAACGGGGUCAGACUUUAGGCCAGGUGACCCUGGAAAUGUGCUCGGCUCUGGGCCUGUCUGGAGGGUGGAGAAGGGGCAGGAACCACCAGUGGCCUCUGGAAACAGGAGCACUCCUGGGACCCAGCUCUGUCCAACAAGCUGUGGCAGGUAGUGAGCCCCCCAUCAGCAGGGGUGUUCAAGCAGGAGCUGGCGCAGAGGACAGGGCUGCGGGGAGGUGGUGUGAGCGGGAAUGCCCCCGAUGGAAUGAGCUGGCCACUUCAGGGAACGUUGAAGGUGGAGGGAACACUCAAAAGGACGGAGUCUGAAGCACAUUUGACCUUCCCGAAGAAGCUCUCUCUCCUGGAUGGGUGGAGGGCGAGUGGCUUCGCAUCUGAGAGUGGGACCCACCCGCCUCGGACAGCAGAAAAGACCCCGACUCCAGCUGGAAUCUGCUGGGAUUCAGAGCCAGGGGCCAGCCAGUCUACCGCCUGCUGUGCCCCCGAGACCCGGAGCAGGAGGGUCCGUGUUCAUCUCCUGGCCUUGCUCUGUCCACUGAAGGGGUGGGAGGAGAGAGUGCAGCAUUGCUCCCUGAGAACCCUCUCCUGGGAGACCCUCUCCCGUCUGAAUACUGGAGUUGCUGGGAGAGCUGGCCACAGCAGGAGAGGCCAGGCAUCCGGGCCAGAGCCAGAGUCCCAGGUCUCCAAUUCCCACCUCCAGGCCUCAGUUUCCCCCAUCCUAACAUGAAAUUGUUGAACCAGAUGCCUCCAAGGACUCUUGGGAUUGUGUGCGGCGCCUGGUGUCUCCCCAGCUGGAGCCCUUAUGACAUCUCGUGAUCACCCUCACACACACUGCCCCCUGCAGAGAGCACCCCGCUGUCCCCCAGGGGACGAUGGGGACAGUGCGUGUGAGGUGGGCACCAAGUUCCUUCCGCGGCCUGUGUCAUCACUAAUGAAAUCAAGAAAUAUGGUGGUUCCAGGCUUUUAAACUUCUUACGACUGAAUUUGCAUAAUCACAACAGCCGUGCUGGGACGGGCGUGCAUCUGUCUAAAAAUAUUGUUCCUCGUCUCGAUCAUUUAAACCAGACAAGAGGCCAGGGCUGGUGUGGGGCCGGGGCCGGGGCUGGACUGAGGAUUCUGCUGAUGGAGCGAAGUUUCCAGCUCCAGGGGGAAAGGUGGGCGGAGGGCCAGACGUGUGGGGGAGGCGGGGAGAUGGUUGGAAAGCUAUAGAUCGAUAACUUUUCAUCGUUCCAAUGUUUUGCCGAUAGAUCAUGUUUACUGCUAACGUCUGCCUGCCUCUGCAGCUUGGCUCUCGCCCUGUCUGUCUCCCUGGGCUCUGCCGCAGAGCCCAUGAGGCUGUGAUAGGCAUAUCAGGGCAGUUGGGCCUCGAGCCGCAAGGCCUGCCACGGUGACCCGGCCCAGCUAGGAGCAGGUGGGGGGCCCGCCUGUGCACCUGCUGCGUCAGGGGACACAGAACCAUCGUGGGCCAGGAGAUGGUGUUGGCUCUGCCGUGCGCCUGCUGUGUGACCUUGGGCAUGUCACUUAACCUCUCUUAGCCUCAGUCCCCUCAUCUGUCAAACAGAGAUCAUCACGGUGUCCGCCUCCCAGGGUUGUGGUGGGGGAUGCAUCACCAGUUACUGAAGGCUCCUGGCAUGAUGCUGGGUACAAGGGGGUGCCCAGUAGACACUCAUUUCCUCCUCAGUAGGGGAGGGAAGGUGAGUGCAAGGCAGUAUGGGAGAUGGAGCCGCACGCUGGACAUAUGUGGGUUUUCCUUCAGCACAGUUGCCGGACCUGGUGCCCACAGAGGGGGGCCCAUUGAGGGAUCUCACCAGCUCUGGGGGCUCCCUCAUGGCUCCCCCAGACCCAGUCCUCUCUUCCGCUCCCUGCUCCCAUCCUAUUGUCCAGGGGAGGCUGGCGGGGGUUGCAGGCAAGGCCAGGGCUGGGAGGGCUGACUCGGCGGGGCUGGCUCCUGGGGACAUGGCCGCAGGGUUGGGUCUAGCAGGCCCCUGACCUCCGCCUUGCCCUCCAGGAGGCCGGGCUGGGGAGUAGAACGGAGGGGACUGCUGCCUGCACCACGUCCCCACUGUGUGAGGACUCGGUGAGUGCUGGGGAAGGUCAAGGGGCUAUGGGAACGGUGCCGAGUGCCUGACGACCUUACCAUGUGACCUUGGGCCAUCCACACGACUCAUGGAAGCUGCAGGGCUCCCCCUGCCCUGCCCCCAAGAGCAGGAACACCCUACAAGUGUGCAACAGAGAAAAGCUCCUGUUUCCUCGACGGUCCGCCGGUGUGCAGCACCUCCCGCAUGCAAAGCCCCUCCCCAGGGUUCAGGGAGGCAAAGAUUCCCGGAGCGGGCGCAGUGGCUCACACCUGUCAUCCCAGCACUUUGGGAGGCGGAGGCAGGAGGACGGCUUAAGCCCAGGAGUUCGAACCCAGCCUGGGCAAUGUGAGACCCCAUCUUUACAAAAAAUAAAAAAAUUUGCCGGGUGUGGUGGCGUGCGCCUGUGAUCCCAGCUAUUUGGGAGGCUGAGGCAGGAGGAUCCCACCGGCUCAGGAGGUUGAGGCUGCAGUGAGCCAUGACUGUGCCACUGUGUUCCAGCCUGGGUGACAGAGAUCCUGUCUCAAAAAAAAAAAAGAAAAAAAAAGUGAAAAUGCAGAUUCCUGCCUCACCCCAGAAUAUGCAGAGGCAGGCCCCGGAGUGGGAGCCCAGGGCUGGGUGAGACAGACCCUCCCCAAGGCCCUGGCCCUGGAAGGUCGGGAAGGGGGUGCCUGGUCCCCUCUGCCUCCUCCCGACCAGAGCGGGGAGGGCUCAGGGCUGGGGCUGGGGCCCUGAGUGCUGCCUCCUGGGAUACACCAGGCUUAUUCUGCCAUCCUACCUCUGGGCUCGCAGCCCCGGGCUGCUCUGGAGUUAAUUAGAGACUCAAACAUUUAAUGGUCUGUUAUGCUUCCACGGGGCAUCUUUUAAAUUAAAAAACAUGAUGUGUGGCGCCGUUGGAGGGAGAAAUCACUUUGCAAUGGUUCCCUGCUCCGGCGCUGGCAGGGAUGUGGGGUGCGGGUAGCUGGCUGGCCCCGGGAGAGGAGGAAUGACCCUCUCCAGGAACACUGGUCCCCCUCCCACCACCGUCAGAAAGCGCAUCACUUAUGCCAGGCAAGGGUCUAGGUGUCCAAGGAUGCCUGGCACUUUCCUCAUCACGCCCUCAUAACCCUGGCAGCUGGAAGUUCUAUCUUUAGUCUGACCUGAAUCUCUCCAGUUGCUUUCAGGGAUGGCUGGUUUGAGACUGAAGGCAGACAGGUGCUGGUUCUUCUCUUCCUAGUAGUACCCUGACCUCCAGGAGCCCCUGAGCUCUGGGAAAGCCUUUCUGAUGAUCUCAAGCUUGCAGAUUCUGUCCCUGUUCUGACCGGGGGUCACAGCCUAGUGGUAGAACAGGACCUCCUGCUAAGAUGCUGGAAGGACCCUUUGGGGGAGCUGAGGCCUGGCUCCCCUCUCCCCAGGCGCAGGUGCACAGGCGUGUGGGCUGUCUGCAAGCACAGAUCCUGCCUCACAGCACCAUUACCACAAUGACUGAAUCUGUGUUUCCUGGCUGCUGUUAAUUGUGCUAGAGAUUUGGGGCAUGGUUUUGGGGUGAAGGUUAGAAAUGAGCAAUUAGCCCUCAAAUGUUAAACUAAUAAGGGAAAUAAAUGAUCAAGCAAAGUCUAGCCUAGGAGGUUUCAGCAACGGAAGAUGGGCUGGGACGGGGCUGGGAUGCGGCCGCCCCAGGCAGGGAGUGGCCCAGCCCGGUUUGCUCAGUGACCAGGAUGUUUCCACAGUCGGAAGGGGUGCUAUCUCCUGUCUGUUACUAGAAAGUUCUAUCAUAACCCCAGGGAUGCUGACAUAACACCACGAGACAAUUACUGUCCUACCGCCCAGGGCUCCUCCUGCCUCAAGAGGACAGGGAAGGGAUUUGCUGUCCCCACGCCCAUCAGCACCCGAGAGGCCUGUCACUCCCUCUGGAGGCUUCCCCGGCCACCAGCCCUCGCUCACACGGUCACACCAUUUCCACUCCCCAAGGCCACCUGUCGGGCACUGCGUGUCCCGGGGACUGGUGUCCCGGCUGCCAAGGAACCUCAGCUGGAUCUGGCUGAGCUGUGAAAAUAAAAAUGUGGGCUGGGUGCGGUGGCUCACACCUAUAAUCUCAGCAUUUUGGGAAGCCGAGGUGGGUGGAUCACUUGUGGCCAGGAAUUCUAGAACAGCCUGGCCAACAUGGUGAAACCCCAUCUCUACUAAAAAUACAAAAAUUAGCCGGGCGUGGUGGCAGGUGCCUGUAAUCCCAGCUACUCGGAAGGCUGAGGCAGGAGAAUCGCUUGAACCCAGGAGGCAGAGCUUGCAGUGAACUGACAUUGUGCCACUGCACUCCAGCCUGGGUGACAGAGUGAGAUUCUGUCUCAAAAAAGAAAAAAGAAAAGAAAAAUGAGAUGUCUCUUGACCUCAUCACACAGCCUUUCCCCGAAGCUUGUUCAGCGCCGUCCCCACUGUGGCUUGAGCUCACUUCCCAGGAAAGAGGUUUCUGCAGACAAAGCUACUGCCACAGCCUGGAGAUGCUUGCUUUUGACUUGCUUGUCAUCAGCUCCGUGGGGCAUAUUUCUCCCCACCGACAUGGCCUUCCCCUGCUUUGCGGCUCGGGGAACUCCAUGCCAUCCUGAGACAGGACACCCGCCUCUGUCUACCAACCUCUUUACUGUUUGAAUUCUUACAUUUAACUGUCAAUCCACCUGCAGACUAUUUUUCUGGUGUAAAGAAGGAUCAAAAUUGAUUUUCUCCCUUCCCCCAAAUAGGCAACAAAUUGCCCUGACACUAUGUUGAGUAAUCUAUUCCCUCGGGCUGAUUUCUGGUGCUCCAUCUCCACCCAGGCUGGAGCAUCUCCUGCCUCUCCUCCUACCCCCUGCAACCUUACGUGGCUCCCCAGUACCCUGGAGAGAGUCCGCACUUCUUAAAGGGGCUGACUGGGCAUCAGUGAGGGUCCUUGCUGUCUCUCAGCUCUCAUUUUGCCAUUUGAGGCUGUGAUUCGCCUGGACUUCUUGCAUUUUUGCUGACAUGCUGUUUCCUCUGCCUGGGACGUGAACCCCUCCCAGCACCCCAAUGUUCCCCCACUCAGUGGGCUUCUCUGUUCAGCCCCCAGAUUGGGGCUGGAACCUCCCCUCUGUAACCGGGGCUGCCUGUGCUUGCUCCGCUGUGACCCCACGCUGCCAGGCUCUGAUUCCCAUCUAUCUCCACCUAGAGUCCACCUUCUGCACCGAAAGCUCGGGGCAGGUAGGGCUGGAGCUGGGGUUUCCUUUCCAGGCACUGAGUAGGCAGUGCAUGCUGAAUGAAUUCAGGGAAAUAUUAACUCCAUAGCUGCCUAUAACGGAAGGCAACCAGGCCAGGCACCUGGCUCAUGCUUAUAAUCCCAGCACUUUGGGAGGCCGAGGCGGACAGAUCACCUGAGCUCAGGAGUUCCAGACCAGCCUGGCCAACAUGGCAAAACCCCGUCUCUACUAAAAAUACAAAAAUUAGCCAGGCGUGGUGGUGGGGGCCUGUAAUCCCAGCUACUCAGGAGGCUGAGACAGGAGAAUCGUUUGAUUCUCCUGCGGAGAUUGCAGUGAGCUGAGAUCGCACCACUGCACCCCAGCCUGGGCGACAGAGCGAGACUCCGUCUCAAAAAAUAUAUAAAUAAAUAAAGGAAGGCAAUCCGAAAUCGGCAUAUGUCACGGUUUUCCUGGGAUGGGCCCUGUGCAUGUCUGUUUCCCCGUAUAAUGGUGAAUACAUCCUCUUGUCACUCUAAAAGUAUCCCAUUUGGGGCAAUAAAUUGUCAUAUGGUCACCCUCUCAUGAGGCCUCUGUGUGGGACCAUUUCUCCUAUUUCUAUUGAUAACACCUCCCCUCUCUUCUUUUACCAAUUUCAGCACAAUAUCAAUCACCAUAACUCUAUAAAAAGCUUCCAUACCUGGCAGGAAAGACAUCCUUCAUCAUUCUCCCUUUUCUGCGUUUCUUUAGUCUUGCCAUUUGAAUAUUCAUUCAGAUGAACUUUUAGAAUGAUUUUAUCUCGCUUUGUAAAACUCGCUGCGAGCCUGUUGAUGGAUGGUGGUAAACCUGUGAAUUAAUUCUGGAAAGACUUUCGGGUAAUAUUCCAACACGGCACAUCUCACCACUCUUGUUUUCUUUGAUAUCUCUCAGGAUAACUUUAGAGAGUUUUUCAUAAUGAUCCUAAAUUUCUCUUGUCGAUUCAUUCCUGGGAAUUGGGAGGGUUUUGUUGUUUUAUUGGUGCCGUUGUAAGUGGGGACCGUUUAUUUAAUUAUGUGUCUCGACUAGCUGUUGUUAGUUCAGAGAAAAGUUAUUGAUUUGUAUAUGUUGGUUUGAUUUCCAGCCCAGCACCUUCGUAUUAAAUUUUUAUAUUAAGUCAUUUUUUUUCUCAGUUGCUUCUCUUGGGUUUCUAAGAUCUUGAAUCAUUUUGUCAGCAAAUAAUUACAAUUCUUCCCUGUAGACAUCCCAUUUAAUUCUGUUUCAUGUCUUAUUGCUAUGUCCAGAAUUUCUGGACAAUGAUGAAAGCAUUGCUGUUUUUUAAUAUAAGUUUCUGAAUGGGAAUCAUUAAAAAAUCUCAUCACCUAGAAUGAUUCUGGCUGUUGAACUGAGACAGAUUCUUGACUUCGAUAAAGACGUGUGUUUCUGGUUCUAUUUCUAGCAGUUACUUUAAAAUCCGAAAUUGGCACUGGAUUUUAUCAAAUGCCUUUCGUCAUUAUGAAUGUGCAUUCCAGCUGACCUGUGGACACUGUGUAGUUUAUUAAUAGAUUUAUCUAAUAUUAAGCCAACU
rnacentral:lncRNA from 1 species